rnacentral:rRNA from 1 species
CACGAACGCUGGCGGCAGGCUUAACACAUGCAAGUCGAGCGCCCCGCAAGGGGAGCGGCAGACGGGCGAGUAACGCGUGGGAAUCUACCCAUCUCUACGGAAUAACGCAUGGAAACGUGUGCUAAUACCGUAUACGUCCUUCGGGAGAAAGAUUUAUCGGAGAUGGAUGAGCCCGCGUUGGAGUAGCUAGUUGGUGGGGUAAAGGCCUACCAAGGCGACGAUCCAUAGCUGGUCUGAGAGGAUGAUCAGCCACACUGGGACUGAGACACGGCCCAGACUCCUACGGGAGGCAGCAGUGGGGAAUAUUGGACAAUGGGCGCAAGCCUGAUCCAGCCAUGCCGCGUGAGUGAUGAAGGCCCUAGGGUUGUAAAGCUCUUUCACCGGUGAAGAUAAUGACUGUAACCGGAGAAGAAGCCCCGGCUAACUUCGUGCCAGCAGCCGCCGUAACAC